rnacentral:rRNA from 1 species
ACACGUAAGGGGCGAGCGUUGUUCGGAAUUAUUGGGCGUAAAGGGUGCGUAGGCGGGAAUGUAAGUUGGUCGUGAAAUACCAGAGCUUAACUUUGGAAGUGCGAUCAAAACUACAUUUCUCAGAGGAAUGGCGGAGAGAAUGGAAUUCCAUGUGUAGCGGUGAAAUGCGUAGAUAUAUGGAAGAACACCUGUGGCGAAAGCGGUUCUCUAGCUUCUUCCUGACGCUGAGGCACGAAAGCAAGGGGAGC